GAAGAAGGCCAUGCGGGAAAGGAGGCAGGGAUUGGAGUGAGGCAUCUGCAAGCCGAGGAACGCCGAUUGCCACAAACCACGAGAAGGACACUGAGGGUGAAAGAAGCGAGGCGACUAGUCCGAGGACAGUUGGUUAUUUACGCAGCACAGCAAGGAUAAGAAUCUGGGGAUCUGCAUCUAACACUGUGCCUCUCCGCCACACAGUCCUGCCUGGAAUCCCUCUAUUAGGCAAAUUCUGCGCCCUCACAGCACGUGCAAAACGUAGACUGCAAUGACUGGAAUGGAUUCCAGCUACUGCCCACCACACUGCAUAGGACGGGCGGGAGGCAGCCCCCAGAACCAGAGACUCCUGCGGAAGAAGACGGAAAUACUCAGACAGACUCUUGGCCAAACUACUCCUCUCUCUACAUUGUGAACGCACAAAAGGUUCCAGCAAUAAUCAUUCUUUAAACAAUAAUAGCAAAAUGUCUACAUGUUUCCAAGGGAUGGGGGCGUGCACAGAGGCUAUCUUUCCCAAGGAUGCCACUCCCAGGAAGUCAGAAUGAAGCAAGUUCUUUGGCGGGUGUCAGGAGGACGGCCUCAGAGAAGCCCAAGAGCAGAUCCUGGAACUGAGGGGGCGAAGGAGGAACCUCUCACCAAACUCACCGCGUCACUGGGUCUUCACCCCACCCAUGUCAUGCCCGCCCCGCUCAGGGUGGAGAGACAACAAAGGAAGGCUAAACACAAACUGGUCGAUGUUGCUGCUUCUUAGCAGACCGCUGGGACCACUGCAAUGGAUUCCAAUAGGAUUUACAUACCUACAGCUAAUCAUUAUAUUGUGGGGUCCUGCAGGAAGUGAUUCGUAGGGCUGCUGGUGGGAGACAGGGGAUCAAAGGGCCUUUAAAAAAUACAGAGGUCAGGGGCUGGCCCCGUGGCCGAGUGGUUAAGUUCGCGCACU
rnacentral:lncRNA from 1 species